UACGGAAGGGGCAAGCGUUGUUCGGAAUCAUUGGGCGUAAAGGGCGCGUAGGUGGUUCUGUAUGUCUAUCGUGAAAGCAUACAGCUCAACUGUAUUUUGUCGGUAGAAACUGCAGGACUUGAGGCUGGGAGGGGCUGGUGGAAUUCCCUGUGUAGCGGUGAAAUGCGCAGAUAUCAGGAGGAACCCCGGUGGCGAAGGCGGGUCUCUGGGCCGAUACUGACGCUGAGGAGCGAAAGCGUGGGGAGCGAACAGG
rnacentral:rRNA from 1 species